rnacentral:rRNA from 1 species
AAGACGGUUUCCUCUUCGGAGGCACCUGCACAGGUGCUGCAUGGCUGUCGUCAGCUCGUGUCGUGAGAUGUUGGGUUAAGUCCCGCAACGAGCGCAACCCUUAUCCCUAGUUGCCAUCAGGUAAAGCUGGGAACUCUGGGGAGACUGCCGGUGAUAAACCGGAGGAAGGCGGGGAUGACGUCAAGUCCUCAUGGCCCUUACAUCCCGGGCUACACACGUGCUACAAUGGCAGGUACAGAGGGCUGCGAAGCCGCGAGGUGGAGCGAAUCCCAGAAAACCUGUCUCAGUCCGGAUUGAAGUCUGCAACUCGACUUCAUGAAGGCGGAAUCGCUAGUAACCGCGAAUCAGCAGGUCGCGGUGAAUACGUUCCCGGGCCUU